GCUGUGACUCUACAAAGGGAAGCCCUUUCUGUUGUCUAAAUGAAAAGAAAGUGCUUCUCUUUGCUGGGUUACGGUUUGAGA
rnacentral:pre_miRNA from 1 species